CUAUAGGAGAAUGAAGUAAGUCUCUCGGAUGAGGAUCAAGAGUUGCACAAGAACCGAACACAAUUAUGGUGAUCUAUAAUGAGGAUGAUGCUGAUGAUUAACUGGGCGUAGUGACGAGGCCUUAGAUACACAUUUAGAAAUCAUAGAUUUAAACUUGUUAUAUCAAUUUUGUAAUACGCUUUGUUGUACUUUGUUUUGUUGUACUUGAAACUUGAUGUAUUUGAAAUUCCUAUUGUAACCCAACUUUUGAAAUGAAAUGAAAUCAGUUUAUGUUAAUUUUA